ACACCAUUUGUUUGUUCUUUAUACUGAACCUAAGCAAACCUCCAUAGGUCUUGCGUAAAAACUAGUUCAGAUCAACCUUUACCAUAUAUCAAAAUCACUAUACUUACCUGAUUAGCAUUUCAAACUACCUCUCAAGCUUCUAUAAUUUGUUAUGCGAGGACAUUUGUAGUAAAAUAAGAGGUCAUAGAAGAAACAAAACACAUACAAUGCUUCGUUUGCUGCAGUAAAAGUGAAUCCAUUCACACUUUUCGGGUUGUAAACUCAAUUUUUUUAGAUUAUUCAGAGUUCCAGCAAAGCAACAAAAUCAUAUGUAUAUAUAUAAAAAAUUAUCAAUUUGCUACCAAUUUUUUACGAAGAAAAGAAUGAAUUGCAUCACACCAUUUGUUUGUUCUUUAUACUGAACCUAAGCAAACCUCCUUAGGUCUUGUGUAAAAACUAGUUGAGAACAAGCUUUACCAUAUAUCAAAAUCACUAGACUUACCUGAUUAGUAUUUCAAACUACCUCUCAAGCUUCUAUCAUUUGUUAUGCGAGGACAUUUGUAGUAAAAUAAGAGGUCAUAGAAGAAACAAAACACAUACAAUGCUUUGUUUGCUGCAGUAAAAGUGAAUCCAUUCACACUUUUCGGGUUGUAAACUCCAUUUUUUUAGAUUAUUCAGAGUUCCAGAACUACAAUAAACAGAGAAACACAAAUAAAGAGAGCUUCACAUAAUGGA
rnacentral:lncRNA from 1 species